rnacentral:rRNA from 1 species
AUGCGUGGGUGGGUGUCCAUUUCCAUGCGAUGGAGGGUGAUCGAACAAGAGUGCAACAAGUUUUGCGCCACUCUUGAGAGCAUCAAGGCCCACCCCGUGAGCGGCAUCGGCAUGCAAGACAUGGCAUUUCAAGCUUUGGAGGCAUUCAAGGUUCAACUCAACGACAAGUGCUUCAACCUCUCCCAUUGCUUUCGGAUCAUCAAGAACGAGGAGAAGUUCAAGGCGCAAUACAUCGUCCUCAAGUCGCGUGGGGGGAAGAAAGCCGUGGAGGAGGUUGGGGAGGGCGAGCCGGCACCCCCGCGGGGGAAGACCAACUCCAAGAAGGAGGACAAGCGGGAUGCGGCAUCCAACGCCUUGAUCGCAAGCGUGGAGGGCAUGAUGAACAAGAAGGAUUCAAGGGAGGAGGAGCGCCGGCGUUUCUAA